ensembl:lncRNA
UGGAAAUGUGGUCUUCGCUCAAACUUUCCAAUCGCUGCUGAUGGUAUUUUCCAGCGUCCUUCCUUUUGCGCACUUGUUCUCCUGUUCACUCGCGCUGGAAAGUUCCUCUCGCCUCCCGUAUGCUAAUCAUUCUUCACGAGUUUAGGGAAGACAGAGGACGAGGAGAGAUGCAGAGACAGCCGGAGAAGGGAGAGAGAAGAUAACGGUGGAAGGCAGGCAACCAAUUGGCCUGGAGCUCUUAGAGAGAGAGAGAGAGAGAGAGAGAGAGAGAGAGAGACCAAGGAAUGGGGGAAGCACCAAUGAGGCGGAGCAAAAGAAUGCGAGGACGCGGCUGCCAUAGAGAAAGACAAGACAGAAAGAAGGAAAAACAGCUGUACGUGAGUCAGAGCCGAGAUGCAAAGCUCUUACCAUCAGCGUGAUGCCUGCAUCCUCAGCUCAGCCCCCAGACCUCCACCCAUCCCGGUGCCGCAGGCGCGAAUGAUUAGGAUGCGUUUGCCUUCUCUGUAUCAGGGACUGAAUUUGCUCCCUUCCUUGCUCUGUGCGUGGCGUGUUUGCAGCAUCAAUGCUUCCCAUAGGCCUUGCGUUCUGAGUGUGUGUGCUUUAUUUGGGCUAGUAUCAGGGAAUCUCAUGCAUACGUCCAUCAUUCGCCUGCAGAAGAGAGCUGGACUCAUUAAUGUCGUCAGGGCUGUGAGCGCUGGCAGAGCACCAGCAGCGUGGAGCGCUGAGAUAACUGGCUUAAGAAGCAGCCAACCUCCCCUGCUCCGGCAGACAGAUCUGUCUCCUCCCAGACAAAAGCGAUGCUAUCCAUAUAUCCGCGCCAUGCACAUCCACACAGUCCAUGUGUUGGGCUGGUAAAGCAUAUCCAAGCUGCUCAUGCGCUUCCUGUUGUGUCCAGUCCUCAGAGCACUUCCUGUGAGAUGAGUCAGCGGUUUGAUGGAGUGACGCAUGUGUCUGCCAGUCAGGCUGCUUGCAUUAGUUCAGCACUGGCCACUAACCUCCGCUCAACCACACCAUUAGAUAAAGGGCGGAAGAACCUUAAUGUGAGAUGUAGAAGAAUGGAAAUGACAGUCAGGGAUGAGGAAAUACAAAUGAUUUAGAAAAGUGAUGAGAGUAAGACUGAAGAAUAGUACAGAUACAAACUACACAAGGACACAUCGAGGAAAAGACAAGGAAGGUUGAAAGAAAUUUGCUAAAUAUGAAGUGUGAGAAAAACAGAUUUAAUGAGAGCAACAAUCCUAGUAUUCACAGGUUUUGAGGUGAAACUUGUCAUUGAUAUCAUGUUUUUAGGCAUUUUAUACUGCAUAUUUAUAUUUAAUAAUAAUUUAAAAUUGAUUAUAUUUUGCAUGAACAAAGCUUCAAGGAGAAUUACAGUGUUUAGUAUUCCGUUUUAUGACACAAUUUUCUCUCCCUCUCUCCACUGCUCUGUUUCAUUUUAUUUUUAAUUUAUUUAUUUGUUUUUCAAUUUACAGUUGAGAUGGACUUUAAUUACAAUCAAAUGAUCAGGCACUGUGAGACUGUGGCACUGAUAUAUCUGCUACACAAAAUAAAUACAAUAUAGCCAGAUUUAAAUUCUGAGGAUCAUACAGUGCCAUCUAAUAUUGGGACCCUUGGUGAAUAUGAGCAAAGGCAGUGGUGAAAAUAAAUCUGCAUUGAUUAUCUUUUUGAUUUUUCAUUCAGAAAAAUUCACAAAAUUCUAUCCUAUCAUUGAAGUAAAACAACUUGAACUUUCUCUAGUUCAAGUUGGCCACAAUUAUUG